UAGGGAAUCUUGCGCAAUGGGCGAAAGCCCGACACAGCAACGCCGCGUGGGGGAUGAAGGCUCUCGGGUUGUAAACCCCUUUCAGCAGGGACGAAAUUGACGGUACCUGCAGAAGAAGCCCCGGCCAACUACGUGCCAGCAGCCGCGGUAAUACGUAGGGGGCGAGCGUUGUCCGGAUUCAUUGGGCGUAAAGAGCUCGUAGGCGGCUUGGCAAGUCGGAUGUGAAAACUCCAGGCUCAACCUGGAGCCGCCAUUCGAUACUGCCAUGGCUAGAGUCCGGUAGGGGAGUGUGGAAUUCCCGGUGUAGCGGUGAAAUGCGCAGAUAUCGGGAGGAACACCGAUGGCGAAGGCAGCACUCUGGGCCGGUACUGACGCUGAGGAGCGAAAGCGUGGGGAGCGAACAGGAUUAGAUACCCUGGUAGUCCACGCCGUAAACGUUGGGCACUAGGUGUGGGGCCUUAUCAACGGGUUCCGUGCCGCAGCUAACGCAAUAAGUGCCCCGCCUGGGGAGUGCGGCCGCAAGGCUAC
rnacentral:rRNA from 1 species